rnacentral:snRNA from 1 species
GGGCGUGGGGGUGAUGUGGCUGCGACUUCUGGCCGCCCCGCUGGUCACCAGGCCUGAUGUGGCUGGUUAGGACAGUGUCCACUUCCUCCCUCACCGUUCCAUGUGCCCCCCUCCCCACGCUGCGUGCUAAGUCUCAGAGGACAACCUUCCCAGGUGGAGGAGGACUGUUCUCCAGUCAAGGGUGCACGAGCUCCCCUGCUAGAACCUCCAAACAAGAACACACCUCUGAGUGUGAGACUAGACAGACCGAUGCAAAGAGACAAGAUCAGGUUUUCCUU